AUGAAGACGAGCAAGACGAAGACGUUCACCAUGAUCUUCAGGCUGUGUCUUAUUCUGCUCCUGAAUAACGGAGCCUGUAACGUCUACAACGUCCUCCAAUCACCUCCCUCCGUCUGUAAGAGCCCGGGGGAAUCCGUCCUCAGUGAGAUCUACUGUUCACACAGCGUGUCUGGUUUUGAUCGCAUCCUUUGGUACAAACAGGACAAACGCGGAGCUCUGAAGUUCCUCGGAUAUCUGAAUGUGAAUUCCCCCAAUCCAGAAGAAGACGUGAAAGGAAAGAUCAGCUUCACCGGGGAUGGGAGGACACAUUCAAACCUUUCUAUUUCUGCUGUUUCAGUAGAUGACAGUGCAGUUUACUUCUGUGCUGCUAGUCUCCACAGUGAAACAUCUCAGAGCUCCUCAGUACAAAAACCUCCUCACAGCCCUCUGCACCUGCAACCAGACCAUGUGGUUGAGGAUGAGGAGGAAUAUUUGUCCAUUCAGUGA